rnacentral:rRNA from 1 species
AACGAACGCUGGCGGCAGGCCUAACACAUGCAAGUCGAGCGCGCCCUUCGGGGUGAGCGGCGGACGGGUGAGUAACGCGUGGGAACGUGCCCUUCUCUGCGGAAUAGCCUCGGGAAACUGAGAGUAAUACCGCAUACGCCCUUUGGGGGAAAGAUUUAUCGGAGAAGGAUCGGCCCGCGUUGGAUUAGGUAGUUGGUGGGGUAAUGGCCCACCAAGCCGACGAUCCAUAGCUGGUUUGAGAGGAUGAUCAGCCACACUGGGACUGAGACACGGCCCAGCCUCCUACGGGAGGCAGCAGUGGGGAAUCUUAGACAAUGGGGGCAACCCUGAUCUAGCCAUGCCGCGUGAGUGAUGAAGGCCUUAGGGUUGUAAAGCUCUUUCAGCUGGGAAGAUAAGGACGGUACCAGCAGAAGAAGCCCCGGCUAACUCCGU